rnacentral:rRNA from 1 species
CCUACGGGUGGCAGCAGUAGGGAAUAUUGCUCAAUGGGGGAAACCCUGACGCAGCAACGCCGCGUGGAGGAUGAAGGUUUUAGGAUUGUAAACUCCUUUUGUUAGAGAAGAUUAUGACGGUAUCUAACGAAUAAGCACUGGCUAACUCCGUGCCAGCAGCCGCGGUAAUACGGCGGGUGCAAGCCUUCCUCGGAAUCACUGGGCGUAAAGAGUGCGUAGGCGGGGUAAUAAGUCAGAGGUGAAAUCCUGAGGCUUAACGAGAGAACUGCAUUUGAAACUGGUACUCUGGAGUGUGGGAGAGGAUGGUGGAAUUCUUGGUGUAGGAGUAAAAUCCGUAGAGAUCAAGAGGAAUACUCAUUGCGAAGGCGACCUGCUGGAACAUUACUGACGCUGAUGCACGAAAGCGUGGGGAGCAAACAGGAUUAGAUACCCCUGUAGUC